GAGGAAGAACAACAGGGAUUGCCCUAGUAACGGCGAGUGAAGCGGCAACAGCUCAAAUUUGAAAUCUGGCUCUUUUAGAGUCCGAGUUGUAAUUUGCAGAGGGCGCUUUGGCUUUGGCAGCGGUCCAAGUUCCUUGGAACAGGACGUCACAGAGGGUGAGAAUCCCGUACGUGGUCGCUGGCUAUUGCCGUGUAAAGCCCCUUCGACGAGUCGAGUUGUUUGGGAAUGCAGCUCUAAAUGGGAGGUACAUUUCUUCUAAAGCUAAAUAUUGGCCAGAGACCGAUAGCGCACAAGUAGAGUGAUCGAAAGAUGAAAAGCACUUUGGAAAGAGAGUCAAACAGCACGUGAAAUUGUUGAAAGGGAAGCGCUUGCAGCCAGACUUGCUUGCAGUUGCUCAUCCGGGCUUUUGCCCGGUGCACUCUUCUGUAGGCAGGCCAGCAUCAGUUUGGGCGGUAGGAUAAAGGUCUCUGUCACGUACCUCUCUUCGGGGAGGCCUUAUAGGGGAGGCGACAUACUACCAGCCUGGACUGAGGUCCGCGCAUCUGCUAGGAUGCUGGCGUAAUGGCUGUAAGCGGCCCGUCUUGAAACACGGACCAAGGAGUCUAACAUCUAUGCGAGUGUUUGGGUGUCAAGCCCGAGCGCGUAAUGAAAGUGAACGGAGGUAGGACCCCGCAAGGGUGCACUAUCGACCGAUCCUGAUGUCUUCGGAAGGAUUUGAGUAAGAGCAUGGCUGUUGGGACCCGAAAGAUGGUGAACUAUGCUUGAAUAGGGUGAAGCCAGAGGAAACUCUGGUGGAGGCUCGCAGCGGUUCUGACGUGCAAAUCGAUCGUCAAAUUUGGGCAU
rnacentral:rRNA from 1 species